UUCCAGACUCCUACGGGAGGCAGCAGUGGGGAAUAUUGCACAAUGGGGGAAACCCUGAUGCAGCGACGCCGCGUGAGUGAAGAAGUAUCUCGGUACGUAAAGCUCUCUCAGCAGGGAAGAAAAUGACGGUACCUGACUAAGAAGCCCCGGCUAAAUACGUGCCAGCAGCCGCGGUAAUACGUAGGGGGCAAGCGUUAUCCGGAUUUACUGGGUGUAAAGGGAGCGUAGACGGUGAUGCAAGUCAGAAGUGAAAGCCCGGGGCUCAACUCCGGGACUGCUUUUGAAACUGUGUGACUGGAGUGCAGGAGAGGUAAGCGGAAUUCCUGGUGUAGCGGUGAAAUGCGUAGAUAUCAGGAGGAACACCAGUGGCGAAGGCGGCUUACUGGACUGUAACUGACGUUGAGGCUCGAAAGCGUGGGGAGCAAACAGGAUUAGAUACCCGGGUAGA
rnacentral:rRNA from 1 species